rnacentral:lncRNA from 1 species
GGGCUUGUAACUCGAGUGAGAGCUUUAAGAUGGCUGGAGUUUGGCUUGGUUCAGAAGGCUGGGCUCUGUUGAAGUUUGCACAGGCUUGCCCAUUCCAAGUAUGGAGUUGUGCCUUGGCCACCUAGCGAAGGCUCGGGGGUCAAGGUCACUAAAGCGGAAGGCACAGCGCGAGGCUGGUUUCACAGAGCAGCGAUCACUUCCCUCUCUUGUCGGUGGAAGGAUAACAGGCUUGUUCUUGGCAAGUCCAUUUAACACCCGAUGAGCCACUCAAAUCAACAACCAUCUUUUUGUUUUUUUUUGCACCUUGGUGAGAGUCUGGGUAACUGAGUUAGCCUGUAAUAUAAGAACUACACAUGAUCAUCCUUUUUCAACAAUCAUAAUUAUGAUAGAAUCAACAUAUGAAACGAAAUGCCACAAUUGUGUGGAAUCAACAUACGAGAUUUUCGCUAUACAAAGGAAUGUUUGGUUGCUUGCGUUAUGCGGCUUACUUAUCCAACCAUAGGUAAAAUUGUGUUUUGCAUCAGUUAAAUGUGUGUUUCUAAGAUUUCAUUCAAAUUGAUUUGACCUCUUUUAUAUAAGAGUGCAGGUUCUAUAGCUGUUUCAAGGUGAUUUUAUUGUCUUCGGUGAAAUAUCAGAUCAAUAAAAGCUUGUGUUCGUUGAAGGAUCAACAAAAAACUGGGCUUAGGAAACUCUAAACUCUCAAAAGAUGGCAUAAUUAUAAAUGUCGGAUCGAGUCUUUCUAUUGCACUUUGAACCAAUGUGUUUAAACAGUUCUUCCGUCUCGGUUAAUUGGAUACAUAGACAAAUAAUCUCGAUGCAAUUAGGGAUAUGAUAAUCAGUUUACACAUCAAAAACUAUAUCAAUAAAAACAAUUGUCGCAGUUUUGGUACCCGUUGAAGAACAACAUCUACAUAGUAGAAUUUAAUAGCCGACACAACUAAUUUAACCUAAAAUAUUCGAGACUAGAAGUUAAGAUAAUAAACUUUUUCUGAAUGACCAAAGAUCUGGCCGGACUUCGAUAAAAGAAGUUGAUCAUUUCAAGUAUAUACAACACUUUCCGGUUUAGCAGGGGUUUUAGCCUUAGGUUAGCCUCUUCAAGUUUUGUAUAAAGCAUGGUUUGUAGAAUAGGGGCUUGGUUAUAUUUGAAAGAUAUACCAUUCUGAACCCACAUCGAAAAGGAACAAAACAUCAGCCUAACAGUGACCUAUAAAUAACGAGGAGGCUGCGAACUUGCAAAUUACUUACCUGGACAGGGUCAAUGGCUGAUCAAGAAGGGCCAUGGCCUAGGUUAGAGGCUUCCAUUGCACUCAGGAAGGGCUCUCGCCUAAGGUCUACCCAAGUGGUGGAGCCUAUGUCAUAAUUUGUGACAGGUGGAGCUUGCGUUCGCGCAGCUCCGCGCCAAUUCUAGUAAAAAUAUUUUUUGCAUUCAUUUUUUUUUUUGCAUUCAUUUAUUUGAAGCUAAUGUGAAAUUUAAUUAUAGUAUUUGGCAAUUUAUUAUUUAUAAUAUUAACCAAGUUGAGAUCUAUUAAACUAUAUAGUUUCAGGAUUUUAUUUGCCUCAAAUUUUCGGAAGGCCCUUAAAAAAUGAAGUCAUAUCAUUUGAAAAGAAUGUUGAAGUUUUGGUGACACUGAAGAGCAAGGAAUGCAUAGUAGAAUCACAAUUCUUGACAUGACAAGAUCAAGGGACAUGCGAUGAUUGACUAGUAUAAUACGAGCAUGAUUCACAUCUGAUGAAACUUUAGCUUGGAAGGAUUGUUGCCUUCCUCUUAUGGCAUGAUUUAUGGCUGAAUCAGUUGACAGUUGCAGUCUAUUAUGGCAUAGGCAGGAACUAUCUUCUCUCAAUGUAAAUAGGCAGUAUUUGCACAAUUUUCACAAAAUCUGGUGCUAGCUUUCUACCUGGUUCUGUUACGGAGCUAUUCUUAGCACUUCUCUUUGUGAACCAGGAGCUUGGAGCUCUUUUCCGGUUGCUUGCUAAAUCAAGGACUUUACCAGUGUUUCAAGUCUAACUAUACUUUUAAGCUGAAAAAUGUUUAUUUGUGUAAUAAAUUAGAAGUACAAUUAAAAUUAGAAAUAAGUCACAUACUGAAAAAUUCGUUUUAUGUACUCUUUUCUUUAUACACUUUAUUCAGUUACUUAAUUUUUAAAUUUUUUUGACAAAAUUUACCUUUAAGUUAUAAUUUAUCUAUAAAUCACUUUUAUUUUUAUCAUUAUAUUUUUAGUAAUCCAUAAAUCAUUAAUAAAUUAAAAUUACUCAAACAAAUAAUUUGAACUCUAAACUUAAAUCAUAAAUCAAAAUAUUAAAAACAACCAAAUGGUCUCUUAAACAUGCGCGCAAUAUUGUUGCUAAUCUAUUACUCCCCGUCUCAUUUUAAGUGGAAUGUUUUGACUUUCGUCGGUCAAAUUGACCAAUAUUUGAUCAAAGAUAAAGAAUAAAUUCAUUAUUAUUUUAAAAAAUUAAAAAUUACAUUUUAUAUUAUAUUAUAUGUACUUUAUAAUGACAUAAUUUUUUUUACCUUUAAAAAGUAUAUUAUAUGUGUAAAUCUUACGGGGGUGUAUUCGAUUGGGAUUUUAAUGCAUUGUUUUUAGUCUAUGGAUUUUAAUGGAUUGUAUGGGAUUUUGAUUUUUUGCGGAUUCUUGAUGAAAUGUCGCAGAGUUGAUAUGAUUUAGGUACAAUUCUUCGAAAUCCCAUUGAAUUUGGUGGGAUUUCAAAAAACUUAAAAUACACUGAAGAAUGCCACAAAAUCCAUCAUUUUAUGAAAUGAAAAAAAAUCCAUCAGCAUUUGAAUACCAUCAGAUUUUAAUGGAUUUUAAACAAUCCCAAUUGAAUACCAUCGGAUUUUAAAGCAUAAUUUAAAAUCCCAAUUGAAUACCACUAGAUUUUGCAGCAUAGUUUAAAAUCCCAAUUGAAUACCUCAAGAUAUUAAUGGAUUUCAAACAAUCCCAAUCGAAUACCCUUGGAUUUCAUGAAUGCAAAAAAAUGUUUUAAAAUCCCAAUCCAAUACACCCAUCUUUAGUCAAGAUUUGGUCAAUUUGAUCAUUUAAAACUCAAACUGGACAAUUAAAAUGAGACGAGGUGAGUAUUAAAUUGCUGGCUCAAUAAGUCAUCUCUCUCAUGAUUUGUUCUGGGUUUGAACUUGUAGCGCACGAUCGCAAGAGAAAAGAUAUUUAAUUAUAUAUUUUAAAUAUUAUUUUAUCAAUAAUAUUUAAAAUAUUAAAAAACUAGGAAAAUAAGAAUUAGAUUUUCCUACAUUUAACAACACUAACAGAAAAUUGGAAAGAGAUAGUUAAGUUUUAUUAAUUUUACCAUUUUGAACCAGCCCCCAUCGUGUCCUAUAAGUCUUUUUUCAGCAAAUCGAAAGUCAAGUUUCGGGAUUGCAGAAUCACUUAGCCCAGAGCCAGAUUUACGUGUAUGUAGUUUCUUAUACUCGAUUUAACACACACAAACACACACUCGUUGCUUGUGUAAUAUCUCUAGUUGUAUAGAUUCCUGAAUUCAUUGAUGUUAGUGCCAGACCUAAUUUUACUUUGUAAAUACCUUUGAAUUUUGAUCAUACAUCUUUGAUGCUUUUGUUUCUAAUUUUAGAUUCCAGGUCUUAACUUUAAUCUUUUGUUUCAUAGUCUGCUGAAAGUAAUACAACAAGCUGUAUUGUCACAUGAUGAGUAGUUAAGAAUGAAAUCGCAACUUCUGUUAUGUAAUACUAAUCAAAGUUUGUUAGGAUAUUAUACUGUUUUAACCAUUGUUUGAAUUGUUGUUAUCAAUUUUAGCAACUUAUCGUAUUCAGGCUUUCUUACUGUUUUUCUCUCCUCUGACGAGUUGCGGCUUUAAGUCCUUAUUAAGAUUUUUAACAUUGUCCAAUCCAAACCCCUUAUAUUGUACAGGUAAUUGACUGGGCUGAUUAAGCAAUGGCACUGAGAAUGGUAGCAAGGAAUUUUAGAAGUAAGCUUCUGCCAAGUUUAACUCCGGCAUAUAUGUUGCACUCUCAUGCUACAAGUUUCGGUAAGUCUGUUUCCUUUGAAUUUCAAUUUUUACUUUUUUAAGGUUUCCACGAAUUUCCAUCUACAAUCUAAAUGAAUUUGACAGAGUGAUUAUUUGUAAGUUUAUAGGGCAUUCUAGUGUUGUUUAGUUGUUGGACUUGUUAGAAUAUCUUUCUUUUGCCAUCAGUUAUGGAGGAUUUGAAUUUCUAACACUAGUGGUUAGUUAAUAACUUAAUAUGCAAAUCAGUUUUUUGUAGGCUGAGUUAUGUUGAGUCUAAGUCUUUAAAUUUUACUUGGUCGACAUAGUUGGAUGUUGUUUUUGAUAAGAUUGAUGAUAAGGAUCAUUGUGUAUCAUGUUUGUGCUUUACUUAGGUUUUAUGCACUUAUGGGGGUUGCUAUUAAUGCUACUAUUUGACAUAUGUUUUACACAGUUGGGAGCUGACUGCAGCAGUACUAUUUAGUAUUGUUGUUAUAUUAACAUUUGCUUCCAAACAAGGUUCGACAGCUAUUUACUACUGUAAACAGAUGAAGUCUUUUUAAAAACCACAAACCACAGACAUCACAAUGUAAGCAUAAUGCACUUGCAGAUCUCCUAUAGACAUGCCUAGCUUAUUUUUGUUGUCCCCAUCUCGAUUAAUUUUAAAAUAGAUAUGUCAACUGACCUCGUAGUAUUUAACAUCUCCAACACCUGAGGAUGAAGAUGAUGACGGGACUAGUAGCGAGUUGAGUUUGUAAGGUUCAUGAGUAACAUUGUCAUCAAAUAUUAGAUCGCUUUUAUCCUGUGAAUUGAUACUGUAUCUUUGUGUAUGAGUUAUAGUUCAUGAUACCGUCCCAGUUUAAAAACGAUAAAUUCAUAAUAGAUGUGAAUCGUCGUUCGGGACUAUGAGUUGAUGAUUACCCUCCAUUACUAGUUAGUAUUGUUAGUAUUAGGUGGUAGUUUAGUGUUUACUAAUACAUUUUAUUAUAUUCCAGCUGUGUUAUUUUGUAUCUAUAUAUGUAUCUUGUAACUGCAGAGUAAUAAAAUCAGACUUAUGUAUAUUUCUCUGAAUAUUGAUGAGAGUUAUCAGUUUGAGAUUGCUUGGGGGCAGAGAUUGGGCUGUGGUUCAAUCAGCCCAGGGCUGAUGAUCACUGUUCUUGUUGUGUUUAUUAUCAUCUGUUAUAAUCUUAUUCUUCUUAUUGUGCUUCAUCAAAUGAACAUCAGAAAACCUACUUCUGGUUGUUUUCAUUGAUAAGUUCAUGCCACUGUUAAACUGGACUAGUGAAUAGUGAUAUAUGAAAAAAAUGCAUGUGGUAGCUUAAAAAAAACGAAGAGGGAGUUCCCUCUUCCAUUUAAUCUAUUUAGAAGCUAAUAUGCAAAGAAAUGUUCCUUUUCUUCUGGAGUCGUAUGCUUAGUUAUGUCCAACGUCUGCCAAGUAGAUUGUCUUCAUAAGAAGAUAUAAAGAACUGAAAAUCUGUACUUUAUGUAUUGGAACUAUUUGUUCAUUCCAUUGACAUCCAUUCCCAUUGUCAGGAUAUAAAGAAAUACCGGAAGAAGAAAAGAGCAAAAUGGUUGGUAAUGUCUUUACUAGUGUUUCUUCGAACUAUGAUCUUAUGAAUGACCUGAUGAGUGCUGGGUUACAUAGAUUAUGGAAGGAAAGGUUGUAAAUUCUAUACUUUAAAUAUACUCUAAUUUGUAUUAGUCUCGCGUGCUUUUACCAACAAUUAAAUUUAGUUACUUAUAAUUUUCCAGAUUAGUAUCCAAACUAAAUCCAUUUCCUGGAAUGAAGCACCUUGAUAUGGCGGGCGGAACAGGUUUUUAUCAUUUCAACGUAUUGUCUUUCUUAUAAUCACAAUUGUUAUAGCCUGAUAAUGUUAUUUUGAGCAAGGUUCUUACAUGAGAAACUAGGAAAUAAUUAACUCCCUAGUGUGUAUAUGUUUCCAUUAUUUUUCUGAUGCCAUUUGUUCCAAGCAAAUGGAGCAUCGUUUCCAUUCUUUUCUGAUGCCAUAUCACAUAUGUUCCAAGUGAAUGGAGCAUAUUUUUAUGUUUCGGCUGUCUUUCUUUUUUAAGGAGUCAAAAUAUCAUUAAUAUAAUAGAUAUCUUGUUUUAAGUGUCUACAGACUCUGCACGAUGAAGCAGAUAUAUAUGUGUAUGAAUAUAUAAUAUUCGUUAGGUAAAUUUUGUAAGUUUGGCUAAUUGCAGGAGAUGUUGCGUUUCGAAUUCUAGAAAGCGUGAACAGUGUUAGGCAUAAAGCCCUACGAGAUAUGCUCGAAGAUAAUUUCCAGGAAAAAACCCAGAUAUAUGUAUGUGAUAUCAACCCACAUAUGUUAAACGUUGGCAAAAUGCGGGCCCAAGAGGGAGGUAAUAUAGGAGGAGUGUUACAUAGCGAAAAAUUAUAUUUUCUAUUGCCACUUGUAUAGUCUCAUAACAAUGAGUCCUACCUGUUAUUUGUUACAUACUAGCAUCUGUAUUUGUAUCGUUGUAGGCCUAGGAGAAGAUGGAUCUCUUGUAUGGGUUGAAGGAGACGCGGAAGCAUUAAAUUUUGAGGAUGACUCAAUAGAUGGUUAUACGAUUGCUUUUGGUAUUAGAAAUGUGACACACAUAGAGAAAGUUCUUUCUGAAGCUUACAGGUAACUUGCCAACUUGUAUGCUGAUUGGACUUUUAUGUAUGUAUCUGUGUAAAUGUAGCUUGAGUUAAUAUUUUAUGGCUCAGGAAGUCCUCAACCUAAAAUGGGUUUUUUUACCAUAAAAUGUAGCUUGAUCAUAAAAUGGGUUUUUUUUACCAUACUAUUGUUCACAUAGUAAUACUCCAUCUAAAGUUCUUGUAUCUAUACGAUAAAAAGGAUUCAAGGAGACAAUUUCCUAAAAUUUGAACUUGCAGGAAAGUUUGGCAUACAAAUUAAACUUUUCUACACACCAUAAGAAACAAACAUAGAAAGAUAGUAAUUCCACCUUUUCUCUGCUUAGCGAACAUCGCUUCACGUGCCCAACUUUUCUUGUAUUCUGAAGUAUAAGAUGAAACCCAAUCUAUCAACUAAAACCUCUAGAGAUAUUGAAACACUAGUAAUGCAACUUGCAACAACUUUGCCGCUUCUCUAAAAAGUGUUCUAAACUCAGUUAGAUGGCCAUUGCAAACGGAAUUAUCACUGCAACCUUAGGGGAAGAAAGGAAGAAACAGAGUCAUUGGGAUAACAAUUCACACUAGAGCAUCAACAAGUCAAUCCAAAGCUCUAAUGUGUUAGUAACAGCAGUUAAUAUCCCACGUCAUCGCCUAAGCUAUAUUAGACUUUUGAAAAGUUGCCAUAGCUCUUGAAUUAGGGGGAAGAAGUUGCCAACUUGUUCUUGUUAUUUUAAACCUAAAUGUUGCAUACAGGAUGCUAAUAUGAUAUUUUAUUCGCAUGUUAAAAUGAUGCCUAAUUUAAAUGUCAUAGUGCCAAAAUUGCACUUGUGCAAUAAAGGAGGAAAUUUAUAAAUACAUCAAGUCUGACUGUAGCUGUUGGUCCUUUUAGCUGUUACAGUACUUAAUUCCUGGAGUUGUUUGUGUCAGGGUGCUUAAAAAGGGGGGAAGGUUUCUUUGCCUUGAGUUGAGCCAUGUGGAAAAUCCAGCUUUCAAGCAGUUGUGAGAUUUUUACAUAGUAUAUUAUGCGAAUUCUUAAAUCACAGUUGGAUGCUCCUUUCUUCAAAUCACGUAUCUGGAAUCUUAGUUAUAUAUUGGUGACCUAUUUUGCAGUUAUGAUUAUUACUCGUUCUCAGUGAUUCCCACCAUUGGGGAGCUAGUUGCCGGGGAUCGGGAUUCUUACCAAUACUUAGUUGAAAGUAUUCGCAAGUUUCCCUCACAGGUAAAAAACUACACUUUUGACAAAACCACAGUAAAGGUUUGUUGUUGAUACCUAGCCAAAUUUUUUGCAAGUCCACAAGUUUACACGUCAGUUUUCAAUUCCAGCUGCUGCUUACAAAAUAUUAAUUAUUUUGAAAAUAUUCAAUGAAGUAGCAUAUAGACGAAAUAACCAAAAAGAUGCCUAAAAAGUAAAUAUUGUAAUAUGGUGGAGAAUCUUAUACCAACUAUGAAGUACAAUUCAACUGGAAGUACUUACAAGUAAGAAUCUCGAUUUUAGAAACAGAAAGAAAUGUUUUUUCUCACUCCUAAGAUUCUGAUUUAACUAAAACUCCUAGACAUAUCUACGCAAGUGGGGUGAGUGCAUAUCACAGCCAACUUGCACAUAUGAAAUUAGUUAGAAGUAAUUUGUAUAACUAGAAAACAGUAGAUAUAAAAUUUUGAUGUUUUUGGGCAAUAGCAUUAUAUAUUUAUAUUAGCUUUAUCCUGAUCGAUUAUAUCUUUUGCAUGUUUUAACUACUGCUUUCAUCAGAUCCUGUGCAUGUUUAGAAUACUGAUUUCAUUAUAUUAUAUGCAUGUUUCAAACACUGAAUUCAUCUGUUAGACUUAGAUAUAAAGGUUAUAUAUUUUAAUUUGAGUACCUCUACCAACUGAAAUUACGUGAUUUUAUAUAAUCAAUCAUAGAUAUGUCCGUAACAUUUUGUAUUAAGAGUCAGGUGACAUACCUUUAAUAUCUGCAGUUUCAGUACUCAUAGUGGAGAUAAUUAGCAGAGCCAAUAUAGAGUAUGUUAAUACAAUGUGAUGAGAGGUGACUGUAUGGCAUCCUGUAGUCAUAUGGAAUGAUAGCUGACAAACAAAUGAACUUGUCAUACACUUAUACUAAUAUGGCCAUAACCCAUGCAUUCCUCAAUGCCCAAUUCUCAAUAGUAGCUAGAACCACAUAGAAACAUUCUGUGGCUAUAUGUGGGCUUCACAAGUUUCUCGAUCUUAGGAAGAGUGGAUAUGUGUAUUUCCACUAUGAAUCUGAGACCUGUCGGAGUCUGGCGUGACACGAGUCACAAAAUUAAGAAAUAUGAUAUUCAUUAGUAAAAUUGGAAAUUGUAACUUGAGAGCAAGGUUAUGUUGCUGUUCUUGGACUAAAAUAACACAGGAUGAUGUUAUGAUCAUUUACUUCCAGUUUCCUAGUUUGUUGAAUAAUUCAGUUGUUAAAAAUAAAAAAUGAAUCCUUAUUGCAGGAGAAAUUUGCUUCACUAAUUUCGGAAGCUGGAUUCCAGAUGGUUGAAUACGAAAAUCUUGUUGGUGGAGUUGUCGCAAUUCAUUCUGGAUUAAAGAUUUAGAGCAGAUAUUGCAAAAAAACUUUUUUCUUCUCACUCUCUCUUUUUUUUUAUUAGUUUUUUUCGCCAGGUACUGCUAAAUGCUGUGUUCCGACAGUGAGGGUAAUCUGGUUGGAAAACUCCUAAAUUUUGUGUCUGACUAGCUUAAAGAUGAAUCAUUGAAAGGAGAUUGCCUAAAUAAUGUAAUUUCUUAGUUUGCUGAUUUUGUUCAACUGGUGUUGGGAGUGACCCGGAGGAAAACAACAUAUGGAAGAACUAGAGAAUUCCAACCUGUACAUGUAAUGGUGGGAAAACAUCUGUCUGCGAGUGAGAGAAAGAAUGUACAUAAUGUGUAUAACGGUUUUCCUAUGGUGUGCCCAUGGGCACAUGCUAAGCGCGGAAAAUUUUGUGCUUGAGAGAUUUUGAUUGGCUCCUCUCUCUUGAUAAUGGUGGACCCCCUGCAAAUACAGCGUACAUAAUGUGUAUAACGGUUUUCCUAUGGUGUGCCCAUGGGCACAUGCUAAGCGCGGAAAAUUUUGUGCUUGAGAGAUUUUGAUUGGCUCCUCUCUCUUGAUAAUGGUGGACCCCCUGCAAAUACAGCAACCACACCAAUCAAAAUCUCCCAAAUACAAAAAUUUCCGCGCUUAGCAUGUGCCCAUGGGCACACACUAGACAAACCGUGUAUAUAAUUAUUAAUAUUUUGACUUUUCUUUCGUGGACUUUGUUUUGAUUGCAUAUUUAAAAAACUUUUUUUAUGAAUAAAGAUAUGAUAAUAAUAUUUUUAUUCAAAAAUGAUAUUAUAAGUAUAUGGCUAAUUUUUUUGAAAAUAGGUAUAAGAAAAUCAAAAGAUUUACGGAUGUAUUCGAUUGAGAUUUUAAUGGAUUAUUUUUAGUUUAUGGAUUUUAAUGGAUUGUAUGUGAUUUUUUUUUUUUUUGAAAAAAAAGGAGAUAAUUCAUUAAAUAACAGCCAUACGGCAUCUAUAAAAAUGAUCGAGUCGAACAAACAUAGAACAUAUUAACACGUCUGUUUUCAUACCCAAGAUGAGACAAAUAAGCGAUGUUGAAAUUGACGAUAGUAUAUUUAUAGAACCUCGCUCUGUGUUCACCAUCAUUUCCAAAAUAAAUCCGUUUGAGCUAUCAACCACAAAUGCGAUUCCCGGAAGGCUUUUAUCAAAAUCCAAAACAACUCUCACAAAAGGAGAGAAAAAUCACACACUCUCACCAGGAGAGAAAUCAAAAUAACACACGAGAGAAAAUUCAAUUGCAAACUAAAAUGAUUACAUCUGCACCACGAACCCACACUAGAAGAUGAUCGAUCCACUCACAAAUCCAAAAAUUCCUCUAGAAACGAAUAAGAACGAAAAUUCAAAGUUUCGGUGAUAUAGAUCUAGGAUAACUUUGCCCAAAGAGAGAGUUUUAUUGAGAAAAUCAAUGAAACAAACAUGAACAACCGGAAAACAAGCAAGUAAACGAAAGGAUUCGGGGCUUUCCGCCGAAAAAUCGGUGGAAGCCCCGGGAUGAGAAAAGAGUGAGGCGGCUAGUGAAAAGAGAGAAGAAGACUAUGGUUUUAUUAUUUUUUUGACGGAUUGUAUGUGAUUUUGAUUUUUGUGCGGAUUCUUAAUAAAAUGUAUAUAGGGGUGUAUUGGAUUGAGAUUUUAAAUCAUUUUUUUUUCAUUCAUGAAAUCUGAGAGUAUUCGAUUGGAAUUGUUUGAAAUUCAUUAAAAUCCAGGGGUAUUCAAUUGGGAUUUUAAAUUAUGAUACAAAAUCUGGUGGUAUUCGAUUAAGAUUUUAAAUUAUAUUUUAAAAUCUGAUGAUAUUCAAUUGUGAUUGUUUAAAAUCUGUUGGUAUUCAAAUGCUGAUGGAUUUUUUUGAAUUUCAUAAAAUUAUGAAUUUUGUGACAUUUUUCGGUGUAUUUUUAAUUUUUUGAAAUUCCAUCAAAAUCCAUGCAGGGUCCUUCAUAGUCUUGAGCUAUGUAUAAACUUAAGUCAUCUACAAUUUUUUUUAAUAAGAAAAGUCAUCCACAAUUAAUCAAACAACACGAGAACAUAAAAGUUGUAACAAAACAUGAUCACUAAACUCUGACAAAAAAAAACACAUAGAUCACUAAACUAUAAAUCAUAUUAAAACACCAUAUACAAAUGUUUAGACCAUCUCCAACCCAUCAAAAUCUUUAGCUAAAAUUCAUUAAAUCAUAUUAUGAAUAAAAAAUUAUCGAUAAUGUCUGAAAUUCGCUCCACUCUAAUCACACAUAACUCUUAUCUAAAAAUAUAGCCAAACAAUUGAUGUUGGCUAUAUUUGGCCAACCACUACAGGCCAGACUGUAGCAAUAUUGUAGUAAGAUUUCGUAUCAUUACCAUAUAAUAAUAUACAUUUUAUUUAUUACAAUUUGAAAGAAUAAUAACUUACUAUUUCUGAGAUAUAGCCAACCAAUAUAGCCAGUACCAUCGAAGCAAAAUAACUUACAGCUUCGACAAAUUUUAUAUUAGAUCUUAUAGGUCUAAUUUAGCCAACACUAUUGAAGAUGCUCUUAGAUAUCAAAAUGUAGAGUAUACGUACUACUCUGCGAUCACAUUUAUCAAAAGCAUAUUAAUUAAUACCAUUUAUCUAGAUGAAUAUGAAGAAUCUCAAACAUUAACCAUGUUUUAUUUUAGAAUUAAUGACUUUUUAGCCCUUGAAGUAUGGGUGGAAGUUCCGAUACGGUCUCAAAAUUUAAAAACGUACCUUUCGACCCUCAAAAUAUCCUUAUCGUAUCUUUUAGCCUUUUUUAAAAAUACCGGUAUAAAUCGGGGAUAAACUUGACGAUUCAUAUUCGGAGUAAAGUUUGGGCGUACAUUUUAACUCUUAAAGUAUACAUCUCGUUCCGUUUAACCCCUAAAGAAUACAUUAAAAUACAUUAGAUUUUCAUUUUAACCCUUAAUGUUUAAUUCCCUUUUUAACCUUUGUGAAAUGUCAACUUUGUCGACCCCGCUAUAUACCGGUAUACACCAUAAAAGCUAAAAGAUACGAUAAAGAUACUUUGAGGGUCGAAAGGUACGUUUUUAAAUUUCGAGGUCGCAUCAGAACUUCCACCCAAACUUAAAGAGAUAAAAGGUUAAACCUUUAUUUUAACAAAGAAAAAUAAUCAAUGCAGAAGCGGUGAAAGGGAUAUUGUUGACGGAGAUCUAGAUAAAGGAAACACUGGUUAUCGAUGAUGAUGGUGAUAUGAAAAUGAAAUAAUAAAAAAUUUGUCGGAUAUAUGAACAAAAUAUAAAGAUAAAUAAGAAAGAGCGGAUGUACAUAAUUAAAGUUUGAGUUAUUGUUUUUACUUACUCUUGUAAAUGAUGUAUUUUUCUCUUUUUCUCUUGAGUUUUUCUCUCAAAAACCGAAACCUAGUUUGUGGGCUAUCUUUUCAGGGUCAAUAUCGUCUGAACCUUGCUUACUUUUCGGUUACAUGGUACUCCCUCCAUUUUUUUCUCCCUGUUCCAUAUGCUGGCAUUGUUCAUAACAUGAGAUAAAUUACUAAUUUACGUCUAAUAAACUUAAAUAUAGUUUUGAGUGAUCUUGUUGGAUUUGUAUUCACGAGUACUUUAAUACGGUGAAAUUUUUAUAUUAAAUAAUAAUACAAAAUUAAAAAUAUUAAUGAUUAAAAAAUAUGUGUUGGUAAACGUUAAAGACAAAUAGAAAAAAUAAUAAGAGACGGAGGGAGUAUUGUUUGAUGAACGAAGUAAACUCUAUUCCGUGGAAUGUUGUAUUCUCGAUAUUCAGUUUCGAUGGAAAUUUAUUUUCCUUCUUAAAAGCCCGAAUUACCGCUGUGCUCGUAACUUCAUAAAUCUAUGCAAUUCCAAUUCCAAAUCAUAAAUUUAUGAAACAAAUAUGAUCCAAAUUAUUUUUUUAUCUAAAUUUUGGAGACGUUUUUGCUUUCACUCAGAUGAAAGACUUUUUUGUAUUUUUGUUCGGGCACACUCGAGAAAGAUCUCUUGUAGCAUUUGUAUAGUAGGGAUAUUUUUGGUUGGGAGUGGUUUAACACCACAGUGAUUGGGCUUGGAAAGCUUGAAAUUUGGGCAUGCUGAUUAGCUGUCAUGUUUCCAAAUUUCCUAAUAUCAUCUGCUUCCCACUGCUUGGCCGGAAUAUAUUAAUUAAUCUCUCUCUCUCUCUCUCUCUCUCUCUCUCUCUGUAUACAAUACACUUGCACGCGCGCGCGCACAUUUAUAUUGUGUUGUUUCUACAACAACUCACUCUCCUGGUGAUGGCUCCUCAAGUCGGCGACGGAGUCCCUGAAGCCUCCUCCACGGAGCCAACCAUAUUCAAACCCAAAGAAACUUCAGCGUUUCACUCCUAUUUAACAAUUUUAUUGUGGCUCGGAUCCAUUCAUUUCAUCGUCUUCCUUAUUCUCUUCUCCUUCUUCUUCCUCUCUUUCUCCAAGUCUCUGCUGUUAGUAANAUAUCACUAAUUUAUAAAGCGAAUAUCACUAGUUUGUAAAGCGAAUAUCACUAAUUUGCACAACAUAAAUCAUUGAUUUCUAUAACUAUAUCAACAACCCCCCCCCCCCCCCCCCCCCCCCCCCCCCCCCCUCUCCCCAACCAGUCAACCAAAUUUGAAGUCUUUAUAUGAAAAUAUACUGAUUUGGACUUUAUUUUUGAAUUUGUUUGUUAUUCGACAGUGUAUAUGGAUUGCUGCUCUUUCUUGCUCUUGUUCCCGUUAAUCCUAAUAGUCCAUGGGGCCGUAAUUUAGCGAGGUCUUACAAAAGAUUCUACCUUUAUAUUUCUCUGUGUGUGGGAUUUUGCGUUGAUUAUGCACUAAUCUUCCACUAUGUGUAGGUAUAUAUGCAAGCAUGUUUGUGGAUAUUUCCCUUUGACUUUAUAUGUGGAAGAUAUCAACGCAUUCUCUCCGGAUCAGGCUUAUGGUAAUAAUUAAAAUGUUUCUUUUCUUUAAUCUUGUAGUAAUUCUGAUGAUAUUUGUGUUAAAGAUGCUGAGUUUGGAUUAAUUGGAAAUUCGUAAACUGGCCCACCUGCCUAUUUCCAAUUUUGCUUUGGUGUAUAAAUAUCACUCCCAUGUAAAGAUUUUAAAUUGCAUCAGCGAUAUUGAAUUAUGCGACUUAGUUGUCAUCUAUUGGUUUUGAGCUAUAACAAGGUUUAUGGUUUUCAAUCAGAUCUAACACACAACCUGGGAAAAAAGGUCCAAGUUUAACUUGCUUCUAGGUAGGCAAUCUAUAUGGAUUCUGGUCCCCAUUGGUAGUACAGUUGGCCUGAUAAAGCAUAUAUACUUUUCAGAUGUGAAAUUUUAUGUUUACUUCUGUAUAGUUCUUAAAGCUAAAACUUGUGUAUCCAGGUCUCUUUUGGUACACCUUUCUCUUUUAUGCUAGCCAGGUUUGCCUUUUUCAGCUAUAAUAUAUUUGGCUUGCUUUAUGCAGUUUUCGGCUAUGAGCCGCAUUCAGUUUUACCAAUUGCUUGUGUUGCACUGGCCGACCUUACAGGCUUCAUGCCUCUUCCGAAAAUAAAGGUCCUUGCAAGCAGUGCUGUAAGAAUCAUAUCCUUGUAACCUUACAUGAGCUAGAGUUGUAUGUUAAUUCAUUUCUUCUAUUCUCACAAUUGGCAAUUACAUGUAGGUGUUCCACACUCCAUUUCUGAGGCAUAUAUGGACUUGGUUGGGACUUGCCGCAGCAUCAAGGAAAAACUUUUAUAAUUUCUUGUCAUCUGGUUAUAGCUGCAUUGUAGUCCCAGGUGGAGUGCAAGAGACCUUGUACAUGGAACAUGGUUCUGAGGUUGACACCCUUUGUGUUUAUUUUUUGUUAUUGCAAAGUACUACAAAAUCUUAAUAUAACCUUUAUCCUUCCUAUCAUGGGUGUCAAGGGCCCUUUGUAGGCUGUGUAUUAAUUAACUUUAUAAAUACAUGUUCUGCCUUUUUAUCAUGCAUUAUAUGAUCUUUACAUUGAUCAUGCGUAAUAUGAUUUGUAUACGAUGUUGAUUUCUGCAAAUUACUAGCGUAGUCCCUACUAAACAGCCAUAUAGAUAGAUGUAAUUGAUGUAAAAAAAACUACUUUGACAAAAGAGUGUCAUCGCCUACAUGUUUUGCUAAUUCUUUGUUCAUUAUCUCUUAUAAGGACCCAGUCGUAUUUUCAGUGGUAAAAUGUUUCAAACAAUACAGGACAAAUGCUUAGCUAAAGAUCUCAUUUACCUCAUUUUGUUUAUGUUAUUAUUCUUUAGCAAUUUUUCAUUUUGUAGGUUGCUUUUCUUAAAGCAAGAAGAGGAUUUGUACGAAUAGCAAUGGAGAAGGGAUGCCCAAUAGUUCCAGUGUUUUGUUUUGGACAGGUACUGCUUUCUCAUUCCCUAUGUUUUUGUGUAUUAUAUGCUUUUGAGAUUUAUGGCAUCUUAAAAACCCGCCACAUUCAGCAUUCUUAUUGGGAAUGUAACCUUAUUGUAUAUGUUAUAUGUACUUUGUCAAUCCAUAAUGUAUAUAAUAUGUUGUGAAACAGCAGUUAUAUGUUUUCUAGUAUAGCUUGGCUGCUUGUUCAUAGCAUUUCCUACUGCAUCUUUCCCUCUCAUCUUCAAUGUGCAACUUUGUCCUGUAGAGUUUUUCGUCUCUGCAUGCGCUCCCUGUAUACAUUCAAUAUUUACAUAGUUUUCUUAAAUUGCUGCAGACGGAAAUCUACAAAUGGUGGAAACCUGGUGGAAAAUUGAUCUUCCAACUCGCUAGAGCUAUAAAGUUUACACCAAUAGUUUUCUGGGGUAUAUAUGGGUAUGUCUUGAGCAUCAACCUCUCCAUACUGACCAUUUUUAUGGACCUCAUUUAUACGCCUUCGUAAAAUUGUGGUGCCUACUGGGAUAUAAGGCACUUAGUAAUGAUGCAAUAAUUGCAGGCGUUGAGAAAUAAUUUGGUGUAUAAUCUUUUGCGUCAACCAGGAAAUUAGGUGACAUUUAACAGAACUGACAAUAGGCCAUUGAAUCUUUUCAUGCAGUUAUGUAGAAAUGCAUUCGCACUUGUGCGUGUAGCAUUUCAUUUUGUCCUUUCCUGUCAGUUAUGGACAUGCAUUUGUUAUUAUCUGUUUAUACCUAUAGGUAAUGUUUCUUUUUUGCAGUUCUCCUCUACCCUUCCGCAAACCAAUGUAUGUGGUGGUCGGUAAACCCAUUAAAUUCAAGGAAAACCCACAGCCUACCCCUGAAGAGGUAUGCUCAUUUUUUUUAUGUAUGUGACUUUUGUACCUCCUCAUAGCCUUAAUUUGUGUUAAUUAGCUGGGACUUAUACUAGAUUAAUAUAUUUAAGGGUUUUCAGUAGCAAGAGCUGAUUAAGUUAAAGUUUAUCUUCCCCAUAACAUUAUUAAGCUCAUAAUUAUUAAAUUAAAGUAGGUCUUUAUAACAUAAAGUUGAUUAGAGAACUGGAAGGAAGUUAUGUUUGUGUUAAUGGGCAUAGGAAAGAUUAAAAAGCCGAGACAAGAUAAUAUUGGAAAACAUAAUAGUCGGCUUUGUAACCUCCAGCUUUGUCUUUCUCCAGUAAGUAAAAUGGCACACAUGUUUCCUUUUUUCUCUUCUAGAGUUGGAGUGAAUGUGAUGUCUGGCAGUACACAUCUGGAAAAGGUCUGAGGGAUAACAAAUGACCCUGUACAGUAUGGAUAUUCCACCUAAACCACCUCCAAAAAUUUACAAUCUUACUUCCCACUGCAACAAAAACAGAAACUUGCUGACAACAAAAAAAACGCUGGAAUAGAUUCUCCCUUGCAUUGACAAGGCAACGUCUGUUAAGUGUUAAGUAUAGUAAUGUAGUUUCCGAGCACAGAGCAUUUCCAUAUAUCGUCAGUCAUGGAUAGUCAUAAAUUAAUAAAGGAACAUAUAAUAGAUUAGUGGUAGGUUUUUUCACCUAAAGAGCAAAUAGUAAUUAUAGUCUCUGUUGAUACGAAAUAUAGCGAGUCCAAUGUAAUGCUAUACUUGAUUCUAUUUCUAUAAUUUGGCAACAAUGCAAAAAAACUCAACUCCAAAGGGGUUUCGUUUUUGGAUGCCAAUAUACAUGAAUGCAUCCUUGCCACAAAUUAUUCACUAUAAAUGGUGUUGGGUAAAAGUUAAAAGAGUUGGUAAAAUUUGAAACUAGUUAUGCAACUAGCACUGGAGUGCAACUUUUAUUUUAGCACCAAUAAGUAUAGCUAUUUUGCAUCUAGCAUUGGAUUUGCUCUUAAAAGUCUUCCUUAUAUAUUCAUGGGUGUGUUGAUUUUUCUAAUAUAUGUUUCUUCAACUCCAUGUAGGUUGUAGAAGUACAAAAUCAAUAUAUCGAUGCGCUUAGGGAUCUCUUUGAACGACAUAAAGAAAAGGCAGGCCAUACUGAUCUUCAGUUGAGAAUUCUUUGAUAAAAGUACUCAACUUGUUUAUAUGCCUCGUCAUAUAAUUAAUUAUGAACAGUUUCUAUAUUCACUUUGGUUAUCUUAAAGUGUAAUGAUGGUGUAUUCAUUUUGUUUCUCAUGAAGUACAAUGAAGUGAUAUAGCGAACAUCUAAUAGUAAGCAUAUGAUUAUGGUACCAACCCUCCUGCUUUUAUGUUUCUAUAUCUUGCCUGAAAGAAGUGCUUGCCAUUGCAGAAUGAAUCCUCUUGAGCACUCAUUCCUCAGCUAAAUAAUACUCCCUCUGUCCCAUUUAAUUCUAUAUGUUUCUUUUUCACUGCUCGACACGCACUUCAAUGCUCUUGUAAAAUAUAGUUCUAUAACUUAUUUUUAAAAUUUUCUUUUUCUGAACAAAAAAUAUAACAUUCAAACUUUUAUUCAGAAAAGAAAAAUCUUAAAAAUAAGUUAUAAAACUAUACUUUACGGGAGCAUUAAAGUCCGUGCCGCGUCCCCGUCCCCCAAUGUAUACAACUCAGGGGGACGGAGGGAGUAAUCGUCAUUUGGAGUAUCCUUUCCCUCUGCACUGUUUCAAUGUUGUCACUAAGAUAUCUUCAGCAACAUUAGUUCUCUUACCAGUUACCACUGGUAUUGACGUGAUAUUACUGAAUCGCAUGAUUUUUUUUUUUAAUAAUUAUUUUUUUGUUUGGGGGGCGGGGGGAGUUGUUUAGGGAAUCUUGGUCUCUACAUUUUUUAGAAGUUUCACCUAAUAUGUGGAACCUUCACCCCUCCCAAAAUUAGUUUGAUGUUCAGACUUCAGACUUGGACAAGUUGUGCGCUGCACAGUAGAAUUUCACAUAAAGUCGUAGCUUAGUGUUAUAGGAUUCUGGCUGUUUUUGUUGAACUGAGUUAUUGUAUUUACCACCGAAACUUUUAGGGACAAACCUAUUAAGUAAUAGCACUUGUAGAAAGCUUGACUACCUGGCAACAGAAAGGUUAUGGAAGGAGUUGUUGAACUGUCUAAAGUAACAUAAUUUUUAGGAAUAUGAUGUACAACACAUAAGGAAUAAUUGCCUUCCAAGUAGAUUCAUCUCCAGGUACACAGGAGUAGUUUCAAAAGCUUGCUACCUUCAAAACUGCUCUGCACAAGAUCAAAGUAUUCACCACAGAGUCUGAUAGGCCUAGGCCGGUAUCAGAAAGGACUGCACCAAGAUCUGACUGACAAUUUGGUACUCAAUCUGGUACACGACACGAAAACUAGACGAGAACAUGCCAUGAAAAGUUAGUGUUUUGGUUUCAAUUUUUGGUACACGAAGGAAGAAACUACAUGAACAUGAAAGUACAUGAUGCAUUUAGUGUCGGAUAUGAGUUUUCACUUUAUAUACAUGAAAGUACACGAAUGCAUUUAGUCUCAGAUGUGAGUUUUCACCUUAUAUACAUGAAUGUACACAAUAUAAAUAUAUUUUUAAGUAAAAAAAAUAUAUCCCAACAUAAUUUUCUCCUCUAAUAUAUCAACAGUUUCUAACUAGAAGUGCCUGGAAGGCUGCAACACAGCUUCCCCUUUAAAAGACUUAUAAUCUGGAAAUGUAGCAAGAAAGGCUUGAGGUCCCAGGUAGAUUGGUCAGCUGUUUGUGAUAAUCAUUGAAUGAGGUAUUCCACUUCAGCAUCAUUCUGGAAUGGAAUAAUCCUCCUGGCCCAAGCAACAAGUGGUUAUAAUGAAGAACGAAAAAAAGAGCAGAGAAUCAGGAAGGAAUUUCUGAUACAACUGGCAAUGGAUCAUGAAACCGUUUUGAGUUCGGACACAUGAAAAACAUCAUGUGUUUCUGCUGAACUUUAUAACUUUAACCUGUAAGAAGCUGAAAUUUGCAAGGGUUUAUAGCACAGUACCUGGCUCAUGUACAGAAACCUGCUAUACGGAAUUAACUACAACCAGACCCAGUUCCCUACAGGCUACAUCAUUUUCUGUACUUGUGUGUUUGAGCUUUCAUUCUGUUUUGGACGAUUUUGAGAGCAGAGAUCAUAACCUCCCUUCUUUGCAGAUCUUUAUCUACUUGGUUAUUAGCAGAUUCUCGAGCUCAAUAUGGAAUGUCACAUCACAUACUCCAUCUCUCACUCAUUUUUCUAUGUUUUUUCCACUAUUCCGCACUUUGAUGUUUUUAUAAAAUAUUUUCUAUAAUUUUAAUUUUAAAAUUUUCUUUUUCUGAAUAAAAAUUUUAAUGUUAAACUUUUAUUUAGAAAAAAAAUCCUGAAAAAUUUAUUAUAAAAUUAUAGUUUACAAAAAUGUUAAAGUGUGUAUUAAUCUCCAUCCUGGAUGUGUACAAUCGAGGGGAGAAAGGGAGUAUAAUAUUUAAAUUUGGAUUUAAUGUGAAAUUUAGAAGAUAGCUGAUAUUAUAUUAUAUUUAAACAUUUCAAAUAAAAUAACAUGUAAUUUACAUGAGUUUGAAAUAAAAAUUUACCUUCUCAGUUCCAGUAGAAGUUCGUGCUGAUAACGUGUUGUAAUAUAUUAACUAUGAAAUAACAACACAACUAAAGAGUACUCAAUGCACUAUAUUAGGGAUCGGAAAAAAUAAAUCUACCUUGAGCUUAAGCCUAGGUAAGCCCUUCAGUAAUUACGUCUCUGCUUAUAAUAAUAUCAUCGUUAUUUCUUAUGAAUAGAUUUUUUAACCAAUUUUUAUAUAUCUGGCGCCACUCAAAUUUUGAAAUUUUUCGCGUGACAAUUUUAUAAAAAAAUAUUUUGAUUCGUACGAAAGAAUAUGGAGUGUAGCAUCUAAGUUUUAAAAAGAACCAAACUUGGAACCUAAAAAUCCAAAACUUUUACCAGUAAAACAAAUAUUCAUUUUUGCGUUUCACACAUUACUUGUGUAACAGACUUGCCUAAAUUCCAAAUCCCAUUGCAUUAAAUAGCAUCAACUGGAACAUGUUUAUAAGAACAAUAGACAUUUUUUUUUGUCAUACUUGAAAAUAAAAUAUUUAAAUAUAAAAUUUAUAAUUCUCUCCCCAGGCCCCCAAUUAUACAUACAAACCCUUGCCUACACACACAAAGCCCUGAUAUGAGAGCCUGUCUUCGCAACCUCUUAAAAACAGCUCGCAAUUUUCUCCCCCUCACUGCCGGCGCCGCCACUCUCUCCACCACCACUUCCCCCAAGCUCUCCGGCGCCGCCAUGGACGAUCUCCAGACUCUCAAGACUCGUCUCUGUAUCAUCGGCAGUGGGCCCGCCGCCCACACUGCCGCAAUCUACGCUGCCCGAGCUGAACUUAAGCCUAUUCUGUUUGAGGGUUGGAUGGCCAAUGAUAUUGCGCCAGGUGGACAGCUGACAACCACCACGGAUGUGGAGAACUUUCCGGGUUUUCCCGAGGGGAUUCUUGGGAUGGAGCUGAUGGACAAGUGUAGAGCUCAAUCGGUUAGGUUUGGUACUCAGAUUUAUACUGAAACUGUUAAUAAAGUUGAUUUUAGUAAGACCCCUUUUCGGGUUUUUACGGAUGGUAAAUGUGUGGUUGCUGAUUCUGUUAUUGUGGCUACGGGUGCGGUUGCGAAGAGGUUAAGUUUUCCGGGGUCCGGGGAUGGGAAUGGGGGGUUUUGGAACAGGGGGAUUUCGGCUUGCGCUGUGUGUGAUGGUGCUGCGCCUAUUUUUAGGAAUAAGCCUUUGGCUGUUAUUGGAGGGGGUGAUUCCGCCAUGGAGGAGGCCAAUUUUUUGACCAAGUAUGGUUCCAAGGUUUAUAUACUUCAUCGGAGGGAUGAGUUUAGGGCUUCCAAGAUAAUGCAGACUAGGGCAUUGAGUAAUCCCAAGAUUGAGGUCUUGUGGAAUUCGACCGUUGUGGAAGCUUAUGGGGAAGGGGACAAGGGGAAUUUGGGGGGUUUGAAGGUGAAGAAUGUUGUAACGGGGGAGGUUUCAGAUUUGAAGGUUAAUGGGUUGUUUUUCGCUAUAGGGCAUGAGCCGGCUACUAAGUUUUUGAAUGGGCAGUUGAAGUUGCAUUCGGAUGGGUAUGUGGCUACUACUCCGGGAACGACUGAGACGAGUGUUAAGGGUGUUUUUGCUGCUGGGGAUGUUCAGGAUAAGAAGUAUAGGCAGGCUGUUACUGCAGCUGGGUCUGGUAUGUCAUAUGAUUUUAUCUGUGUAUCCCUUUACUAUUAUACAACAAUGCUUAAGUGCUUUAUGGAAAUGAACUAUAAUAGCAUAGGCAGGCUUUAUGUUACAUCAGUAUCAUCUUGUAAAAAAGAAACUUUUUGUAGAACAAAGUUUAAUUACAUACAAGAGGUUUUGUACAACAGAUUAUGUGCAUCUAAUAGUACAUGACAUUAUGCAUAAUAGGAAUUUUUUGUGUAGUUUGUGAAUUCUUAUGUUCUUGAACCAUUGUUUUUUGCUGUUACCACUAAAUGUUGCAUAGAAAGAGAAUUGAGUAAAAACUUGUCUGUCCUUACAAGGCAUAAUGAUCAAACAUUUCUUAGAACUUCCCCUAAUAUUCAAAAUUGCAAAUUUUUUAACCUAUUUCACAGGUUUUAUUUUGGAAGGAUAUGCGCUUAAAAAUUCACUUCAUAGUUCUGCACUCCCAUAUUAAAUGUUAUUAGUAAUCGAGCUUCAUAUAUCCAAGAAUAGCUGAAAUCAUACCUAGGCUUGUUUCUAAGGAGAUGACUAGAUUGCUAUUCUUUUUUGGUUUUAGUAUUAAAGCUUUUUGGCAAUGGAUAUUGAUGGUGCUUCUUCUAUAGUCUUAAGUACUGCUGGAUCUGAUACAAUAAAACCUGGGAUAUAUAUAUUAUUUUUGUAUGUGUUUUGAAGUUAGUAUAUUUUGAUUGCUGACAUCCAAGGUUACUGCAAUAGACCUUCCAAUAUUGCAGCAGAGAUGAAACCAAAACCUAGUCGUGUUUCUUGCUCAAAAGAUCUACUUGUUGCUAGUCGUGUGUUUCUUUUCAAUCAAAAUAGAUAAUAAGAAGAAAAAAAAAACACUCCAUGAUUAAUGGUUAAGAAUAUUUGAACAGGCCUUUUUUUUGUGUUGGUUUUUAUUAGCACAAAAAAGGGAAUAAAAUGAGAAGAAAAGGCCUCAUUAUGAAAAUAGAAUUUCUUUCGUCAGAUUUCUAUUUAAGUUGGUGUACAUGGUAGUAUCCUCCUAUCGUGCUUUUCUGCUAUGUUGCAAUGUGUUCUUUUAUGAAUGGGUUAAAUACUACUCCGCCCGUCCCACCCAAUUAUAUACAAUAUUUUUGCAUUCUUGACACAAACUUUAAGACUUCUAUAACUUAUUUUUUAAAAUUAUUGUUUCUGAAUAAUAAUUUAAACACUAAAUUUUUAUUUAGAAGGAAAACAAGUUUAAAAUAUUUUAUGAAAAUAUAUUUUAUAAGAGUGUUAAAGUACGUGCCGAGCCGUCCGUCCCAAAUGUAUAAAAUUAAAUGGGACGGAGGUAAUACCAUUUUUGUGCCCGAAAUAGAACUUCUUAGGAAUUUUUUUAAUGAUCAGUGUAAGAAUAGCAGGCAAUUGUUUUUGAUGUCUUCAUUAUUAUUAUUUAUUUUACUCGUUUUUUAAGUUUCUUUUUAGCUAGCAAUUUUAUGAACCUUUUGUCCACGCCAGCUGUAUCUCUUUUUUUCAUACAGAUAUUUUCUCUUUGAUCAAAAAAGGUAUGUUGGGUGUUAGAUGCGUCGUUAAGGUUGUGACUUGCGAGCAGUUAGUUAAUUAUAAGUGAGGAGAACAGAUGAAUUGUUGCCUUGACCGGUCAGGUUUCCUUGUUUUGUUCGAUUAGGUGAUGUUGACGACAUGCCGUCAUGAAAAUUUCCCCUUGGACCUUUUCUUUUCUCUGUAAGAAAUUGUUCAAAUUCAAUUGAGGGCUUCAGAUACUGAUCACUACAGGAUACAUAAAUUACAUUAUGUACAACUGAUAGUCUGAUACAUUAUUAUUAUUUUGUCUUUUCUAGCUUAGGAUUUUUAUGUGUGGUAUUUUUUAAAGAAAAAUUAUUGACACUUGUGCGAUGCAGGAUGCAUGGCGGCACUAGAAGCAGAACACUAUCUGCAAGAGAUUGGAGCACAAGAGGGAAAAAGUGAUUGAUUAUCCAACAAAAUGCUUGAGAGAUCGCAAGGAACCUAAAUUGAACAAGUAACAUCAAUAAAAAACAAAUCAUAUCUUCAAGUACAGACUCUGGUCUUACAAUUUGACAAUUAAGGAUUCAUUUAUGGAACUUAAAAAAACAUCACUUGUUGCUUUAACUGAUUUAAGUUCAAGAUUUGUGGUCAAAUAUUAUAUAUAGCAUUCUUGCAACUCUACAUUCUACAUAUCUACUGUCUAGGCAAGUCACUGGUGCUUUAUGGGUGUCUAGUGCCUUCGUAUGUAUGCAAACCUUUGAAGAAAUGUG